GUGCUCACCACAGCAGCAUAUAUUCUAAAACUGGAAUGAUACAGAGAAGAUUAGCAUGGCCCUUGUGCAAGGAUGACAUACAAAUUUGUGAAGAGUUCCCUAUUUUU